GAUGAACGCUAGCGGGAGGCCUAACACAUGCAAGCCGAGCGGUAUUGUUUCUUCGGAAAUGAGAGAGCGGCGUACGGGUGCGGAACACGUGUGCAACCUGCCUUUAUCUGGGGGAUAGCCUUUCGAAAGGAAGAUUAAUACUCCAUAACAUAUUGAUUGGCAUCAAUUAAUAUUGAAAGCUCCAGCGGAUAGAGAUGGGCACGCGCAAGAUUAGCUAGUUGGUGAGGUAACGGCUCACCAAGGCGAUGAUCUUUAGGGGGCCUGAGAGGGUGAUCCCCCACACUGGUACUGAGACACGGACCAGACUCCUACGGGAGGCAGCAGUGAGGAAUAUUGGUCAAUGGGUGCAAGCCUGAACCAGCCAUCCCGCGUGAAGGACGACUGCCCUAUGGGUUGUAAACUUCUUUUGUAUAGGGAUAAACCUACCCUCGUGAGGGUAGCUGAAGGUACUAUACGAAUAAGCACCGGCUAACUCCGUGCCAGCAGCCGCGGUAAUACGGAGGGUGCAAGCGUUAUCCGGAUUUAUUGGGUUUAAAGGGUCCGUAGGCGGACUUAUAAGUCAGUGGUGAAAGCCUGUCGCUUAACGAUAGAACUGCCAUUGAUACUGUAAGUCUUGAGUAUAUUUGAGGUAGCUGGAAUAAGUAGUGUAGCGGUGAAAUGCAUAGAUAUUACUUAGAACACCAAUUGCGAAGGCAGGUUACCAAGAUAUAACUGACGCUGAGGGACGAAAGCGUGGGGAGCGGACAGGAUUAGAUACCCUGGUAGUCCACGCCGUAAACGAUGCUAACUCGUUUUUGGGCUUUAGGGUUCAGAGACCAAGCGAAAGUGAUAAGUUAGCCACCUGGGGAGUACGCUCGCAAGAGUGAAACUCAAAGGAAUUGACGGGGGCCCGCACAAGCGGUGGAUUAUGUGGUUUAAUUCGAUGAUACGCGAGGAACCUUACCAAGACUUAAAUGGGAAUUGACAGCUUUAGAAAUAGAGCUUUCUUCGGACAAUUUUCAAGGUGCUGCAUGGUUGUCGUCAGCUCGUGCCGUGAGGUGUUAGGUUAAGUCCUGCAACGAGCGCAACCCCUGUCACUAGUUGCCAUCAUUCAGUUGGGGACUCUAGUGAGACUGCCUACGCAAGUAGAGAGGAAGGUGGGGAUGACGUCAAAUCAUCACGGCCCUUACGUCUUGGGCCACACACGUAAUACAAUGGCCGGUACAGAGGGCAGCCACACAGCAAUGUGAUGCAAAUCUCGAAAGCCGGUCUCAGUUCGGAUUGGAGUCUGCAACUCGACUCUAUGAAGCUGGAAUCGCUAGUAAUCGCGCAUCAGCCAUGGCGCGGUGAAUACGUUCCCGGGCCU
rnacentral:rRNA from 1 species